AAAUUUUAUUACUACUAAUCUUUUCUUUGAGAUUUAACAAAGUGAAAUUUCAGAUGAUGAAUAUCUUUGUUAAAAACUGUGAGAUCAACAAUACACAUAUGUAGAGAUUGGAUGGGCAGAUCUAUUGUGAAGUCCCAGGUAACAGGUUAGAUAAGAGGAGUCUGCGAGGAAAAAGCAGGUCGGAUGGUUGGAACAGCAAGAGUGGAAGGAGCUCGAAUUGCUAAAGACGCGCCAACCUGAGGAAGAAGUGGCUGAUUUGGUCGAGCUCCAACAGGUGAGGUUGGCGAAACCUUACAGCAAUCCGACCAUGUAGGUCCGCGCGGAAACGAAUGAGAUUGGUUAUGGUCGGAGCAGAAAUAAACGAGGUCGGUGCUGCCUAUUUCGUCGCCAUCAAUCUUGAGGUGACCGGCGUCACCAGCGCUCCAUGGCGCGGGUCCUUCUAAUUCGAUAUCGGGAGCAUUACUCCCUCAUCACCACCCAUCUCCUCUCUGAGCAGCCACCCAUCUCCUCUCUGGUUGGUCGAAAUAGCAAGACAGAAAGGAGUUCGGCAAAUCCGACGACCACAGCGUUAGAUUACUCCUUAAGGUCGGAUCCGUGCUCGAGCUUAGAUCUGUGAUCGAGGUCGGAUCCGUGUUUGAAGCGUUACCUUUCUUCCUGGGUUUGGGGGUCGGAUCCGUGCUCGAGCUUAGAUCUGUGAUUGAGGUCGGAUCCGUGUUUGAAGCGUUACCUUUCUUCCUGGGUUUUGGCUUCUGGAAUCAGUGUUCUGCAGAGAAAUAUUUCUGGGUCUGGUUCUUUUCCAUUCAAUGCGCUUUUGCUUGUUUAGGGAGAUCCUGUACAUGCUGAGAAGAUAAGCCGCGCCUGUUUCACUGGGCUAAUAUUCGAGCAGGGAUUGCUAGAGGAACUCAAACUUAAAGAAGAUGAGUUGCAAGCCAGAUGGCAAAAACAGCUGCAGGAGAUGGAGAAAACCAGUGAAUCUCCUUCUCAACAAGAAAGCACUAGGAAAUCCACUCCCUAAAACUUCAUAGAAGUGACCCCUUGCCUGGAACCCGCAAUGUGUUGUGGAAGUAACCUCGAAUCCGUAAUCUAGUUGCACGACCUGGAUGCCAGCGGUGAUUUGAAAGACUUUA
rnacentral:lncRNA from 1 species